UUAAAUUGAAGAGUUUGAUCAUGGCUCAGAUUGAACGCUGGCGGCAGGCCUAACACAUGCAAGUCGAACGGUAACAGGAAGCAGCUUGCUGCUUCGCUGACGAGUGGCGGACGGGUGAGUAAUGUCUGGGAAACUGCCUGAUGGAGGGGGAUAACUACUGGAAACGGUGGCUAAUACCGCAUAACGUCGCAAGACCAAAGAGGGGGACCUUCGGGCCUCUUGCCAUCAGAUGUGCCCAGAUGGGAUUAGCUUGUUGGUGAGGUAACGGCUCACCAAGGCGACGAUCCCUAGCUGGUCUGAGAGGAUGACCAGCCACACUGGAACUGAGACACGGUCCAGACUCCUACGGGAGGCAGCAGUGGGGAAUAUUGCACAAUGGGCGCAAGCCUGAUGCAGCCAUGCCGCGUGUAUGAAGAAGGCCUUCGGGUUGUAAAGUACUUUCAGCGGGGAGGAAGGUGUUGUGGUUAAUAACCGCAGCAAUUGACGUUACCCGCAGAAGAAGCACCGGCUAACUCCGUGCCAGCAGCCGCGGUAAUACGGAGGGUGCAAGCGUUAAUCGGAAUUACUGGGCGUAAAGCGCACGCAGGCGGUCUGUCAAGUCGGAUGUGAAAUCCCCGGGCUCAACCUGGGAACUGCAUUCGAAACUGGCAGGCUUGAGUCUUGUAGAGGGGGGUAGAAUUCCAGGUGUAGCGGUGAAAUGCGUAGAGAUCUGGAGGAAUACCGGUGGCGAAGGCGGCCCCCUGGACAAAGACUGACGCUCAGGUGCGAAAGCGUGGGGAGCAAACAGGAUUAGAUACCCUGGUAGUCCACGCCGUAAACGAUGUCUACUUGGAGGUUGUGCCCUUGAGGCGUGGCUUCCGGAGCUAACGCGUUAAGUAGACCGCCUGGGGAGUACGGCCGCAAGGUUAAAACUCAAAUGAAUUGACGGGGGCCCGCACAAGCGGUGGAGCAUGUGGUUUAAUUCGAUGCAACGCGAAGAACCUUACCUGGUCUUGACAUCCACAGAAGAAUCCAGAGAUGGAUUGGUGCCUUCGGGAACUGUGAGACAGGUGCUGCAUGGCUGUCGUCAGCUCGUGUUGUGAAAUGUUGGGUUAAGUCCCGCAACGAGCGCAACCCUUAUCCUUUGUUGCCAGCGAUUAGGUCGGGAACUCAAAGGAGACUGCCAGUGAUAAACUGGAGGAAGGUGGGGAUGACGUCAAGUCAUCAUGGCCCUUACGACCAGGGCUACACACGUGCUACAAUGGCGCAUACAAAGAGAAGCGACCUCGCGAGAGCAAGCGGACCUCAUAAAGUGCGUCGUAGUCCGGAUUGGAGUCUGCAACUCGACUCCAUGAAGUCGGAAUCGCUAGUAAUCGUGGAUCAGAAUGCCACGGUGAAUACGUUCCCGGGCCUUGUACACACCGCCCGUCACACCAUGGGAGUGGGUUGCAAAAGAAGUAGGUAGCUUAACCUUCGGGAGGGCGCUUACCACUUUGUGAUUCAUGACUGGGGUGAAGUCGUAACAAGGUAACCGUAGGGGAACCUGCGGUUGGAUCACCUCCUUACCUUAAAGAA
rnacentral:rRNA from 2 species